rnacentral:rRNA from 1 species
AUGGAUGAGAAUGGGACACCAGAUUACAGCGGUGGGGGCUCGGACAUGGACCUGCUCAUGCUCUCAGGGUUUGACGACCUUGACAGUUUCCCAGAGCUCGGCGCCGGUCCUUCAUUUAGUGACGGUAUCUUGUCGUCUUUCAGUGUUUCACCUGCGCAGCAGGUGACACAUAUCUCACCUUCACCACCUUCUGUGGAUGCUGAGGAGCAAGGUGAUGUUUCCAUUACUGAUGGUAGUGAUUGCUCUGUCAGUUUAGCCUCUAACGAGGUCAUGAAUGUGAGCGCUCCCACUGUCCCAAAGACAGUUUAUGGCGGCGUCACCCUGACGGAGAAGAUGCUCAGGGCAUUGGCCAUGCUUAAAGAAGCAUCAACUGCUGGGCCAGUCCUUGUGCAAGUUUGGAUCCCUGUAAGAAAUGGAGAUCACCAAGUGCUGACCACCUCUGACCAGCCUUUCUUGCUUGAUGAGAGGCUCACAGGGUACAGGGAAGUCUCUAGGCAGUUCACAUUCUCAGCCACAGAAGGACCUGGUCUGUUUCCUGGAUUGCCUGGGCGUGUUUUCAUAUCCGGUAUGCCAGAGUGGACAUCGAACGUGAUGUACUACAACACUUCAGAGUUCUUGAGGGUAGAUUAUGCGAUUCGCAAUGAAGUCCGGGGAUCCCUUGCCAUGCCGGUUUUCAACUCAAGUGGCGGCUCUUGCUGUGCUGUGUUGGAAGUAGUCAUGACACAGGAAAAGGAUAACUUUUGCUCAGAGAUGGACAACCUUUCUAAUGCUCUGCAGUCUGUUCAGCUCAGCACUGUGCAAGCAAGGACACAUCCUCAGAGCCUUACUAGGAAUCAGCAAUCAGUAUUGACGGAAAUAUUGGAUGUUCUCAAAGCUGUUUGCCAUACACACAUGCUACCUUUGGCACUUGCAUGGAUUCCAGUUUGUCCCAACAGCAAUUUGAAUGUGUCAGCAGAGUAUGGUGACCAGGCUAUAAAAUUUGGUCUGAGGAACAAAGAUGUCCUUUGCGUACAAGAAUCUGCCUGUUACAUCAAUGACAUGAGAAUGCAUGAUUUUCUCCGUGCCUGUGCAGAACACCCCCUUGAGAAAGGACAAGGUGUUGCUGGAAAUGCAAUUUUAUCAAAUCACCCCUUCUUCUCAUCUGAUGUGAGAGAAUAUGAUAUGCACGAUUAUCCGCUGGUACAUCAUGCCCGUAAGUUCGGUCUUCAUGCUGCUGUUGCUAUCAGAUUGCGUAGCACAUACACUGGCAAUGAUGACUAUGUGUUAGAGUUUUUCCUUCCACUGACGUGCAAAGUUCGUGAAGAACAACAGCUCUUACUUGAUGACAUCUCAAUGACCAUGCAAAGAGUAUGCAGUAGUCUGAGAACAGUUUCAGAUGCUGAACUGAAGGAAAACACCAUAAUAAUGCGAUCAGCUAUAAGAUGCUCGUCGUCUGAUGUUUCUAUUAAUUCAUGUGACCAAAUUGAUGUAUCCAGUGAAGUCAAAAAAUAUGCUAAGUUUGAACCUGGCAGCACAUCUGAAAAUUUUCAAAACUGCAGCUCAACAGGGAAGAAUGUUAGCUUGACUGUCCUUCAGGAAUCUACAUCUGAUAGGCUGAAAAUACGCAGCUCAACGGAGAAGAAUGUUAGCUUGAAAGUCCUUCAGCAAUACUUUGCUGGCAGUUUAAAAGAUGCUGCAAAGAGCAUUGGUGUUUGCCCUACAACGCUGAAAAGGAUAUGCCGGCAGCAUGGAAUAUCAAGGUGGCCAUCUCGUAAGAUAAAGAAGGUAAACCGGUCACUACAGAAGAUUCAGAAUGUCAUAAGUACUGUACACGGAGUGGAGGGAGAGAUAAAAUAUGAUCCUGCCACUGGAUGUAUUGUUUCAUCUGUUUCCCAUACCGAAGAGUCUUCAAUGAUGAUGAAUGUAGAACAUCAAAGUUCUGAUUCCCUGCCCAUUGAAUGCCAUAAGUUCCAACCUGAUUAUGAUGCAUACCAAAGAGAACAUCUAGGCCAAGCUGUACUCCACAAAGCACAGAAUGACAAACGGAGCGAAACUCAUAUUAACCUGAAUCCUGGAGGGUUAUGCCGAAAUUCAAAUUUUGGCAGAACAUCAAAAGGGCCACGGUGUCAGGAUGCGUCAAACAGUUCGUAUCUUACAAAAGAAAUGAUCUCUGCUGACGGUACGGAUAUGUGGGUUGAGGGAGCUGAGCAAAAGAACGUAGUGUGGAAUUCUAUUUCUAUGCCACAGCAAUGCAAAAUUGAGAUAGAAACAGACAAGUCUAAUACAAUUGUUGAGCAAAGCCUAGCAUCUUCUUCCAGCAUGACAGAUUGCUCCAGUGGCGGUACAUCCAGUGAUGGGACUUUGAAGAAAUGUUUUAAGAGUCGGUCAGUUGACGGAAGCAAUGCAAGCAUAGUUGUGAAGGCCGCUUACAAGGAUGAUACUGUAAGGUUGAAGUUACUACCAUCCAUGAAAUACGAGAAUCUGCUUGAAGAAAUUGCGAAGAGGCUGAAGCUAUCAGUUGGUGCAUUUCAGCUCAAGUACAAGGAUGAUGAGGAUGAAUGGGUGAUUUUAGCAAGCGAUGCUGAUCUCCAGGAAUGCCUUGAUGUAUUAGACACCACCGGGUCACGCAUCGUGAAAAUUCAAGUACGAGAUGUUCCAUGCGCUACUAGAGCUGCUUCAGGUAGUAGCUCAAUAUCUCUGGUCGAUAGGUCAGGGUGA